rnacentral:rRNA from 1 species
CGCGUAGGCGGACUUUUAAGUCAGAUGUGAGAUCCCGGGGCUCAACCCCGGAACAGCAUUUGAAACUGAAAGUCUUGAGGGUAGAAGGAGAAAAUGGAAUUCCACAAGUAGCGGUGAAAUGCGUAGAUAUGUGGAAGAACACCGGUGGCGAAGGCGAUUUUCUAUUUUAUUCCUGACGCUGAGGCGCGAAAGUAAGGGGAUCAAACA